GUGGGAACCAUUGUUGGGAUCGUGACCGGGGGCUUGGCUACCACUGUGUUCGUCGGAGGCCUGGUUUACUACAGUGUCGGUCGCUGGGGGCAACGAUUGGACCAGGGGGGAUCAACGUCUUCCACACCCCCACCAGUUUCAGCAGAUGGGACAAAGGUCUGAAAUCGUCAACUGAAGCCAGGACGCCGUUUCUGAAAUGUAGCAACUGUUGACAGUCAUAGAAAAAUAAAUUGUUACGACUGAAAA